AGGUUGCAUCACAUGAUUUUCACGUGCACAGACCAGGCCAGAAAACACAGAAACGCAGAAACGCAGCGACGGCGCCCUAACCUCACGUCUCGCGACCCAACACCUCCGGCAUCCUGCGAGCGGAGCGUCGCGUCCUCUCGCGACCCUCCUGUGACCUCCCUGAGCAGAACCCAGCGAGCCGCCGGCGACGACCCUCUUCUCCUACUCCUCUGAGCCCUCACCCUCUCUCAAAUUCCUCAACCUCUGCCGCUGUUAGACCUCCCUGAGCAGAACCCAACGAUCCGCCGGCGACGACCCUCUUCUCCUACUCCUCAGAGCCCUCGCCCUCUCUCAAACUCCUCAACCUCUGCCGGCCUUAGGGCUUAUUUGUGGUGCAAUUCUCAUUUGUGCAGUUUGCUGGACCACCUCCUACGGCCUCCUCUUAGACAUCAACGAUCUCGUUCCAAAUAUUUUGGGAGUCAUUUUGGCUUUUGUCCAACUGGUCAUCAUGCUUGUUACUAUAGAUCCACACC